rnacentral:rRNA from 1 species
GACGAACGCUGGCGGCACGCUUAACACAUGCAAGUCGAACGGAAAGGCCUGCUUUCCCUUGUGGAUUGCGGGUACUCGAGUGGCGAACGGGUGAGUAACACGUGAGUGAUCUGUCCCCAACUUGGGUAUAAGCCUGGGAAACUGGGUCUAAUUCCCGAUAGGACUGCAGGGUGGUGCCUGUGGUGGAAAACGAUUUUCUAGUGGUUGGGGAUGAGCUCGCGGCCUAUCAGCUUGUUGGUGGGGUAAUGGCCUACCAAGGCGGCGACGGGUAGCCGGCCUGAGAGGGUGGACGGCCACAUUGGGACUGAGAUACGGCCCAGACUCCUACGGGAGGCAGCAGUGGGGAAUAUUGCACAAUGGGCGGAAGCCUGAUGCAGCGACGCCGCGUGGGGGAUGACGGCCUUCGGGUUGUAAACUCCUUUCGACCGCGAGGAAGCCACCUGGUUGGAAGGGUGGUGACGGUAGUGGUAGAAGAAGCACCGGCUAACUACGUG